GCCGAGGUGGUGAAAUUGGCAAACACGCUAGCUUCAGGAGUUAGUGGACGCAAGUCUUUGUGGGUUCAAAUCCCACCCUCGGCA
rnacentral:tRNA from 1 species